GACGAACGCUGGCGGCGUGCUUAACACAUGCAAGUCGAACGGAAAGGCCCUGCUUUUGUGGGGUGCUCGAGUGGCGAACGGGUGAGUAACACGUGAGUAACCUGCCCUUGACUUUGGGAUAACUUCAGGAAACUGGGGCUAAUACCGGAUAGGAGCUCCUGCUGCAUGGUGGGGGUUGGAAAGUUUCGGCGGUUGGGGAUGGACUCGCGGCUUAUCAGCUUGUUGGUGGGGUAGUGGCUUACCAAGGCUUUGACGGGUAGCCGGCCUGAGAGGGUGACCGGCCACAUUGGGCCUGAGAUACGGCCCAGAAUCCUACGGGAGGCAGCAGUGGGGAAUAUUGCACAAUGGGCGGAAGCCUGAUGCAGCAACGCCGCGUGCGGGAUGACGGCCUUCGGGUUGUAAACCGCUUUCGCCUGUGACGAAGCGUGAGUGACGGUACUGGGUAAAGAAGCACCGGCUAACUACGUG
rnacentral:rRNA from 1 species